UACGUAGGGUGCGAGCGUUAAUCGGAAUUACUGGGCGUAAAGAGUGCGUAGGCGGUUCGUUAUGUCUGCUGUGAAAGCCCCGGGCUUAACCCGGGAAUGGCAGUGGAAACUGGCGGGCUUGAGUGUGGCAGAGGGGGGUGGAAUUCCGCGUGUAGCAGUGAAAUGCGUAGAUAUGCGGAGGAACACCGAUGGCGAAGGCAAUCCCCUGGGCCUGCACUGACGCUCAUGCACGAAAGCGUGGGGAGCAAACAGG
rnacentral:rRNA from 1 species